rnacentral:rRNA from 1 species
UACGAAGGAUCCGAGCGUUGUCCGGAUUUACUGGGUGUAAAGGGCGCGUAGGCGGCCUGCUAAGUCGAACGUGAAAUCCCCGGGCUCAACCCGGGAACUGCGUCCGAUACUGGUUGGCUUGAAUCCGGGAGAGGGAUGCGGAAUUCCAGGUGUAGCGGUGAAAUGCGUAGAUAUCUGGAGGAACACCGGUGGCGAAGGCGGCAUCCUGGACCGGUAUUGACGCUGAGGCGCGAAAGCCAGGGGAGCAAACGGG